rnacentral:rRNA from 1 species
AUUGAACGCUGGCGGCAGGCCUAACACAUGCAAGUCGAACGUGAAAGCUCCUUCGGGAGUGAGUAGAGUGGCGAACGGGUGAGUAACGCGUAGGAAUCUACCCAAGGGAGUGGGGGACAACAUGGGGAAACUCAUGCUAAUACCGCAUACGCCCUAGGGGGCAAAUCGGGGGAUCUUCGGACCUCGCGCUCUAAGAUGAGCCUGCGUCGGAUUAGUUUGUUGGUAGGGUAAUGGCCUACCAAGGCGACGAUCCGUAGCUGGUCUGAGAGGACGACCAGCCACACUGGGACUGAGACACGGCCCAGACUCGUACGGGAGGCAGCAGUGGGGAAUAUUGGACAAUGGGGGAAACCCUGAUCCAGCAAUGCCGCGUGUGUGAAGAAGGCCUGCGGGUUGUAAAGCACUUUCAGCAGCGAGGAAAAGCCUAGGGUUAAUAUCCUUGGGUCUUGACGUUAACUGCAGAAGAAGCACCGGCUAACUUCGUGCCAGCAGCCGCGGUAAUACGAAGGGUGCAAGCGUUAAUCGGAAUUACUGGGCGUAAAGCGCGCGUAGGCGGUUAGAUAAGUUGGGUGUGAAAUCCCUGGGCUCAACCUAGGAACUGCAUUCAAUACUGUCUAGCUAGAGUAUGGUAGAGGAAAGUGGAAUUUCAGGUGUAGCGGUGAAAUGCGUAGAUAUAUGAAGGAACAUCAGUGGCGAAGGAGGCCACUGGACCAAUACUGACGCUGAGGUGCGAAAGCGUGGGGAGCAACCAGGAUUAGAUACCCUGGUAGUCCACGCCGUAAACGAUGUCAACUAGCCGUUGGGAGUAUUAAAACUUUUAGUGGCGCAGCUAACGCGAUAAGUUGACCGCCUGGGGAGUACGGUCGCAAGAUUAAAACUCAAAGGAAUUGACGGGGGCCCGCACAAGCGGUGGAGCAUUUGGUUUAAUUCGAUGCAACGCGAAGAACCUUACCUGCCCUUGACAUACUGAGAACUUUCCAGAGAUGGAUUGGUGCCUUCGGGAACUCAGAUAAAGGUGCUGCAUGGCUGUCGUCAGCUCGUGUCGUGAGAUGUUGGGUUCAGUCCCGUAACGAGCGCAACCCUUAUUCUUAGUUGCCAGCGCGUAAUGGCGGGGACUCUAAGGAGACUGCCGGUGCUAAGCCGGAGGAAGGUGGGGACGACGUCAAGUCAUCAUGGCCCUUAUGGGUAGGGCUACACACGUGCUACAAUGGCCGGUACAGAGGGCUGCAAACUUGCGAGAGUAAGCUAAUCCCUUAAAGCCGGUCCUAGUCCGGAUUGGGAGUCUGCAACUCGACUCCAUGAUGCUGGACUCGCUAGUAAUCGCGGAUCAGAAUGCCGCGGUGAAUUCGUUCCCGGGCCUUGUACACACCGCCCGUCACACCAUGGGAGUGGGUUGCAAAAGAAGCCGGUAGCUUAACCUUCGGGAGAGCGCCGUCCACGGUAUGGUUCAUGACUGGGGUG